UACGUAGGGGCUAGCGUUGUCCGGAAUCAUUGGGCGUAAAGAGCGUGUAGGCGGCUCGGUAAGUCCGCUGUGAAAGUCCAGGGCUCAACCCUGGAAUGCCAGUGGAAACUGUCGAGCUAGAGUCCGGAAGAGGCGAGUGGAAUUCCUGGUGUAGCGGUGAAAUGCGCAGAUAUCAGGAGGAACACCAAUGGCGAAGGCAGCUCGCUGGGACGGUACUGACGCUGAGACGCGAAAGCUAGGGUAGCGAACGGG
rnacentral:rRNA from 1 species